CAAGGGCCUUAACACGCCACAUAAACGACGUAUGCUCCUCAAUGACAUCAAACGAACCAAAGCAGACAUAGUCUGCCUACAAGAAACGCACUUUGUCUCCACCAAAAUCCCAACCUUCGCCCUUAGGGACUAUCCCACACAAUUUCACGCUACCCACACCUCCAAAUCCAGAGGGGUAUCCAUACUGCUACACAAUUCACUAACUGUAGAAACUCUCCGGGUCAAAAAAGACAACCAAGGACGGUACAUAAUCCUACACUGCAGAAUCAAUGAGCACCCAUAUGUCCUAGUAUGCCUCUACAGCCCAAACGACCAACAACGCAACUUCUUACAUAAAAUUCUCACCAAGCUACCCGAAGAUGUGAACGACCCCAAGAUCAUCUGUGGGAAUUUUAACCACACCAUGGACACGAAGAUGGACUCUACCACCCCACACACGUCAACAAGGCACCACACUCUCAAGCCCCACACUAAGGCAUUUGUAAAGCUCAUCCACGAAAACAGCCUAUACGACGUAUGGAGAACAAAACACCCCUCCGAAAGAGAAUACACGUUCUUCUCACAAGUACAUAAAACACACUCCAGAAUAGAUCACAUCCUCACUUCAGGCACGCUACUUCCACACAUAGAAAACUGCUCCAUCGGCAACAUAGUGUGGUCCGACCAUGCCCCUAUUACAAUGACUUUACACUCCACCUACCAGCACCGGGGUAAGCCACCAUGGCGCCUCAAUGACUCACUGCUGCAUGAUCAGAAAUUUGCAGCACUGCUGACAGCAAACCUAACAGAUUAUUUUAUGACUAACGAUAACCCCGAUGCCUCCAUAUUCUCGAUAUGGCAGGCCCACAAAACGGUGAUGAGAGGCAUAUUGAUCAGCCG